ACUCCGAAAGAAGAAUUGGCGCCAACAUGGAAAACUUUAUUGACACACCAACAUCCCAAACAUGGGAAAGAGUUUACGGUUUAUAUGACAAAGUUUUAAUUGUCAAGUCAAAAAAAAUGAAAGGCGACAAAGAAAAACAAUUAAAGGACUUGGAUUACUGGUAUCAAGAGGAACUCCCAGUUGCUAUCAAAGGAAGAAAAGAAAGGCAUGUGACUCACGAGGAGCUUUGUAAACUAAUGAAAUGGAAACUGAUGAGAGGAAAAUUUCGACCUCGUUUGGAACAGAUGGUUCAGAGUAACAGUGAGGAAGAUGUGAAGGCUGCAAGUCUGAAAGGCUUUAAAGAGCUUCCAAACCUGUCCAACGCCAUCAAAGCACUUACAGUCCUGAAGGCAAUAGGUCCAGCGACUGCUUCUGCUGUUUUGGCAGCAGGUGCCCCAGACAAGGCAGCAUUCAUGGCUGAUGAGAGCAUGCUGGCUAUUCCAGAGUUAGCUCCCUUACAGUAUACGUUGCCAUUUUACAAUCAGUACAUGGACUAUGUGACAACAAUUACCAAAAAACUCAACAAAGAUCAAGAAGGAGACCGAAUCAAAUGGACCCCUCACAAGGUUGAGCUGACAUUGUGGACUUACCAAAUGGCUAAGACACUGUGUCCAGAAUUACUCCCUGAUGCCGAGGAUGAUUCAACUACACAAAAGAGAAAGAAAGUAUCAGAAAAUGGAAAAAAAGAUGACAAAACAAAGAAGCUUAAAACGUAAAAAGUGACUUUCUGGAAUGACAUUGUUAUUGUUUAUUUACUUCUUUUGCUACACUAAUUGGUACUUGAAAUAACAUUUUGUAUAAGUUUGUUAUCAAUUUAGCAGUAGAUAACAUAUCAGGGGUAGUCACUUCUAUAGCUCAGGUAAGUUAAAAUUGAAGUGACAAAGCUUAUACGUUGUAAUGGUAGUUUGUUAUGAGAUUAGACAGGUGUGUUCAAAAUUUUCUUUCGGUUAUAAAAAUAGAUGAGCUGUUAGCAACAUCGUUGAUGGUACGUUGUGUAUAUUUCUAAUAUGUCGGUUACUUAAAUCUAUACCUAUUUAGAAGUUAGUUAGUAUUUUGAUGAUCUAGCUUUGAAGGAUAUUGAUGUUUAUGAAGAUGUUGGGUUGAGAUUUGUACACAAUGAAGCAUGUUUUAUAUGUUGUUAUAUCUGUUGAAAAAUCUUAUUUACCCAAGAAGGUAAGAAAAACUUAAUAAGAUGUUUUAAUUGUCUUGUAAGGUUAUUAGAAUUACUGUGAUGAAGUAGCCAUUGAACAUAUUAUUAAUUUGUUGGCUGCUGUAGUAUUUUAAAAUUUCUAAAAUUAAGGAGGCUGGUGUAGUCACCCAAGGGGUACUGUCUUAUGUCUUAUGUCAGGGUUAAUGUUUAUGUGGCCUAAAAUUCUUGGACUUCAUUAAAAAACCAGGUAUCAUGGUCAAAGCUUGUUUUUGCUACUUGUCACACAGUAUAUAUACUGGACAGAUCUGCCUCAAAAAUUGUACACAGGAUCUCCUUGUCCUAGCUAGGACCAAAGAGAUCCUGUGUACAAUAUUUAAGAAAGAACUGUAGUUGUAGCUACAGUAAUACUGUAUAUGUACAUAUUUUAGCAAUAAUUGUAUUUCAACUUACUUCACGCUUAAAAUAAUGUAGUAAAAUGUGAUUGUACCACUUGAAGUUUUCUGAUAUUGUUUUCUCUUGCAUUUAUUGCAGGUUCACCAAAUAAUUUGAUAAUGCUGUAAAAUAUGAGUGUGCUAAAAUAAGUAAAUUUACAGUACUGGAUUACUUUCAUUUAUCAGACCCUAUGGGACUCUUGUACAGGUAAUAUCUCGGGUCAAUCACACACAAAACAUUUAAUGGGUUCUGUGAAUCCCGCAUCUUAACAUCAAAAGGCCCAGUGGGACUUUCAUGUAAUGUCUAACAUCAAAUAAACCUUAUGAGUCUCAAAUGUAACAUCCAACAGGCUCUAUGGGACUUGUAUCUAACAUGUAAAGGGCUCUAUAGGACUUGUAUCCAACAUGUAAAAGGCUCUAUAGGACUUGUAUCUAACAUGAAAAGGGCUCUAUGGGACUUGUAUCUUACAUGUAAAGGACUCUAUAGGACUUGUAUCUAACAUGUAAAGGGCUCGAUAGGACUUGUAUCUAACAUGUAAAGGGCUCGAUAGGACUUGUAUCUAACAUGUAAAGGGCUCUAUGAGACUUGUAUCUACCAUGUAAAGGGUUCUGUGGGACUUGUAUAUAACAUGUAAAGGGCUCUAUAGGACCUGUAUCCAACAUGUAAAAGGCUCUAUGGGACUUGUAUCUAACAUGUAAAGCGCUCUAUAGGACUUGUAUCUUACAUGUAAAGGGCUCUAUAGGCCUUGUAUCUAACAUGUAAAGGGCUCUAUGGGACUUAUAUCUAACAUGUAAAGGGCUCUAUGGGACUUAUAUCUAACAUGUAAAGGGCUCUAUAGGACUUGUAUCUAACAUGUAAAGCGCUCUAUAGGACUUGUAUCUUACAUGUAAAGGGCUCUAUGAUACUUGUAUCUAACAUGUAAAGGGUUCUGUGGGACUUGUAUCUAACAUGUAAAGGGCUCUAUGGGACUUGUAUCUAACAUGUAAAGCGCUCUAUAGGACUUGUAUCUUACAUGUAAAGGGUUCUGUGGGACUUGCAUCUAACAUGUAAAGGGCUCUAUGAGACUUGUAUCUAACAUGUAAAGGGUUCUUUGGGACUUGUAUCUAACAUGUAAAGGGCUCUAUGGGACUUAUAUCUAACAUGUAAAGGGCUCUAUAGGACUUGUAU
rnacentral:misc_RNA from 1 species